rnacentral:rRNA from 1 species
UAACACAUGCAAGUCGAGCGGUAGCACAGAGAGCUUGCUCUCGGGUGACGAGCGGCGGACGGGUGAGUAAUGUCUGGGAAACUGCCUGAUGGAGGGGGAUAACUACUGKAAACGGUAGCUAAUACCGCAUAAUGUCGCAAGACCAAAGUGGGGGACCUUCGGGCCUCAUGCCAUCAGAUGUGCCCAGAUGGGAUUAGCUAGUAGGUGGGGUAACGGCUCACCUAGGCGACGAUCCCUAGCUGGUCUGAGAGGAUGACCAGCCACACUGGAACUGAGACACGGUCCAGACUCCUACGGGAGGCAGCAGUGGGGAAUAUUGCACAAUGGGCGCAAGCCUGAUGCAGCCAUGCCGCGUGUGUGAAGAAGGCCUUCGGGUUGUAAAGCACUUUCAGCGGGGAGGAAGGCGUUAAGGUUAAUAACCUUGKCGAUUGACGUUACCCGCAGAAGAAGCACCGGCUAACUCCGUGCCAGCAGCCGCGGUAAUACGGAGGGUGCAAGCGUUAAUCGGAAUUACUGGGCGUAAAGCGCACGCAGGCGGUCUGUCAAGUCGGAUGUGAAAUCCCCGGGCUCAACCUGGGAACUGCAUUCGAAACUGGCAGGCUAGAGUCUUGUAGAGGGGGGUAGAAUUCCAGGUGUAGCGGUGAAAUGCGUAGAGAUCUGGAGGAAUACCGGUGGCGAAGGCGGCCCCCUGGACAAAGACUGACGCUCAGGUGCGAAAGCGUGGGGAGCAAACAGGAUUAGAUACCCUGGUAGUCCACGCCGUAAACGAUGUCGAUUUGGAGGUUGUGCCCUUGAGGCGUGGCUUCCGGAGCUAACGCGUUAAAUCGACCGCCUGGGGAGUACGGCCGCAAGGUUAAAACUCAAAUGAAUUGACGGGGGCCCGCACAAGCGGUGGAGCAUGUGGUUUAAUUCGAUGCAACGCGAAGAACCUUACCUGGUCUUGACAUCCACAGAACUUUCCAGAGAUGGAUUGGUGCCUUCGGGAACUGUGAGACAGGUGCUGCAUGGCUGUCGUCAGCUCGUGUUGUGAAAUGUUGGGUUAAGUCCCGCAACGAGCGCAACCCUUAUCCUUUGUUGCCAGCGGUUCGGCCGGGAACUCAAAGGAGACUGCCAGUGAUAAACUGGAGGAAGGUGGGGAUGACGUCAAGUCAUCAUGGCCCUUACGACCAGGGCUACACACGUGCUACAAUGGCAUAUACAAAGAGAAGCGACCUCGCGAGAGCAAGCGGACCUCAUAAAGUAUGUCGUAGUCCGGAUUGGAGUCUGCAACUCGACUCCAUGAAGUCGGAAUCGCUAGUAAUCGUAGAUCAGAAUGCUACGGUGAAUACGUUCCCGGGCCUUGUACACACCGCCCGUCACACCAUGGGAGUGGGUUGCAAAAGAAGUAGGUA